rnacentral:hammerhead_ribozyme from 1 species
GUACUGCUGAAGAGUCCCAAACUAGGACGAAACGGCUGUCCAAUAC